rfam:TPA: Bos taurus chromosome 5, whole genome shotgun sequence.
UCCCUGAUGGCUCAGAUGGUAAAGCAUCUGUCCAAAACGUGGAAGACCCAGGUUCAAUCCCUGGGUUGGGAA